rnacentral:rRNA from 1 species
UAGUGGCGAACGGGUGAGUAACACGUGGGCAAUCUGCCCUUCACUCUGGGACAAGCCCUGGAAACGGGGUCUAAUACCGGAUAACACUCCUCAGGGCAUCUUGAGGGGUUAAAAGCUCCGGCGGUGAAGGAUGAGCCCGCGGCCUAUCAGCUUGUUGGUGGGGUGAUGGCCUACCAAGGCGACGACGGGUAGCCGGCCUGAGAGGGCGACCGGCCACACUGGGACUGAGACACGGCCCAGACUCCUACGGGAGGCAGCAGUGGGGAAUAUUGCACAAUGGGCGAAAGCCUGAUGCAGCGACGCCGCGUGAGGGAUGACGGCCUUCGGGUUGUAAACCUCUUUCAGCAGGGAAGAAGCGAAAGUGACGGUACCUGCAGAAGAAGCGCCGGCUAACUACGUGCCAGCAGCCGCGGUAAUACGUAGGGCGCAAGCGUUGUCCGGAAUUAUUGGGCGUAAAGAGCUCGUAGGCGGCUUGUCACGUCGGAUGUGAAAGCCCGGGGCUUAACCCCG